AAAACAUAGNUUAAAGNAAAGUUCAUUUUAAGUGAAACCUGCCCNGUGAAAUUUUUUUAAACGGCCGCAGUACCCUGACUGUGCAAAGGUAGCAUAAUAAGUUGUCUUUUAAAUGAAGACUAGAAUGAAUGGAUAAAUGGGAGAAAGCUGUCUCUUGGGUACUUAAUAAAACUUGAUUAAAGGGUGAAAAUACCCUUGGUAAAAAGAAGGACGAGAAGACCCUAAGAGCCUCAGUUAUUUUAAGUAAAAUAUAAUUAAUGCUUAAUUAGCUUUUGUUGGGGCAACAAUGUAUAACAAAAAAAAAAUACAUUUUUAUUUUAGCUUUAAAAAUAUUUGUCGAUACUUUUAACUUCAUUAAAAAAAUAUUAUAAAUUUUUUGAAAUAUAAAUUAUAAGAAAGAAAAGGCUACCUUAGGGAUAACAGCUUAAUACUACACCAAAAUUGUGUUUGAGACCUCGAUGUUGGACUAGGGACUUUAUGAUCAGAAGUCAAAAAAGCUCUUCCGUCG
rnacentral:rRNA from 1 species